rnacentral:ncRNA from 2 species
AUGCUUUUUCGGGGCAGGGUGAGGUUAAUCAAAAAUUAACCAAUUCCCGACCGGUGGUAAAAUUAUCCUCCUUCAGAGAAUGUUGAGAGGAGGUAAUAAGCCCACGAGCUCGGUAUUCGCUAUUGUGAGUACCGAACAGAUCUGGUGAAAAGCCAGAGCCGACAGUAAAGUCUGGAUGGAAGAAGAAGUGA